UGGGGAAUAUUGGACAAUGGGCGCAAGCCUGAUCCAGCCAUGCCGCGUGUGUGAAGAAGGCCUUCGGGUUGUAAAGCACUUUCAGCGAGGAGGAAGGGAGUUGUGUUAAUAGCACAGCUUCUUGACGUUACUCGCAGAAGAAGCACCGGCUAACUCUGUGCCAGCAGCCGCGGUAAUACAGAGGGUGCAAGCGUUAAUCGGAAUUACUGGGCGUAAAGCGCACGUAGGCGGUUUUUAAGUCAGAUGUGAAAGCCCCGGGCUCAACCUGGGAAUUGCAUUUGAAACUGGCAAGCUAGAGUUGGGUAGAGGGGAGUGGAAUUUCAGGUGUAGCAGUGAAAUGCGUAGAGAUCUGGAGGAACACCGAUGGCGAAGGCAGCCCCCUGGGCUAACACUGACGCUCAUGCACGAAAGCGUGGGGAGCAAACAGGAUUAGAUACCCCGGUAGUCCCUGAGCGGGC
rnacentral:rRNA from 1 species